UUAUCAUUAAAGAUCAGGUCAUUUUGCGCAUUAAUUAGCCUCCAUGCCCGGAACAGCCAGUCCGAGAAGAAAGCUUUCAACAAGAAGAGCUUUCAGAUUUUCCUUGAAUAUGUUGUCCCUUGAAUAUGUUGACAAAAUUCAUCUAUUCAGCUCUCAAAUUCAGAGCCAUAAGUAGUCAAAGAACAUAUAUGGUCCCUUGAAUAUGUUGGAGGUUAUAAAGUUGGGAGAGAAAGGUAGUUCCUUGAUCUUGAAUGGUAGA
rnacentral:misc_RNA from 1 species